rnacentral:lncRNA from 1 species
AAGACAUCUGAAGGUCAACAUUCUUCAUCAAUUGUCAGGUGUCUAUUCAAGGUCAAGCUCUUAUCUAAUAUAGUCUUCAAAAUUGUAAAUAAGUUUUACAGAGGCGAUCACAGAUCUCUCGUCAAUCAGGGGCGUAGCUACCCGGAGGCACGACAGCACGUGCAUCCACGUCGUUUUCACAAAAAAAAAAAAAAAAAAAAGCAGAAGAGAGAGAGAUGAGUUGGUCAAUCGGAAUCGGAGACUUUUGGUGUCUUUUCCGUCUAUCCCAGAUAUUAGUUUGACAACCUAGUUACAAGUGUUGAUAAAGCUGUUCAUUCAGAAAAAGAUCGUAGCUCCGAAGUUGCGUGCACAUUGAUUCGGCAUGCAAAAAAA